rnacentral:tRNA from 1 species
AAGACACUCGUCUAAUACUGAGGACACUGCUUUGUCAAAACAGAAAUGUGGGUUAAAACCCUGCGUGUCUUG